GUAACUUGUCUGUGCUCACACAGGUGGAAAGAGGCUGAGUCAGCCCUUGGCCUGACUGCAGAGCCUAUGUGCUUAAUGCUGCUAAAGCUGUGGGGCCCUGACACAACUGGUCACUCCUAGGAGGGCCAGAGGACUCCUACAUUGACUGCCUUACUUAUUGCACAGGCAACCUUCCACCUCCACAGCUGGGACCUGUCUCCUUUGUGCUAGCAGUGACCUCUCUGUCACCUCUUUCUUUUAGCCCUGUAGGUUGUUGGGCCUCUCCCCCCUGAUGAAUGCCCUGGUCCCAGCUGUUCUUUCCCAUACUGGCUGUGAAACUGUCUGAGCUCCCACACUGAAAGGAAAGAGUCUCCAAGAUGGUAGGUAAUCGCAGCGUGAGGAGUUCAAGGAGGAAAAGUUCGUGUCACCUGUGACAGAGUCAAAGAAGCGGGAGGUGACUGCUUGGACAGCUAAGGCAGGCUCCAUGAGCAUCAGCGGGGGACAGGAGCCAGGAAGUCCACAAUGAUGUUCCAGAUGAGGAAAGUCUAAGUGCCUACUCUGUGUCAUGCCUUGGGCUAAGUUUUUUUUAAUAUGAAACCACUGAGUCUACACAGGAAAGGACAGACAGAAAAAAAGAAAAAGAAAAAUUACACGACUUACCCACGAGAGUGUUUCUAUUUCCACACAGAAAGGAGAUUUCUUCCUUCUGCCUUGCUGGGGACUGGAGACUUGAGGACCACGGGAGGCCCCUGGAGCAGCGUUUUCGAGUGGUUAGCUUUCCCCAGCUUCAAAUGUGAAGUAUAAGUUAUACCUCCAAAAUUUGGGGGUGGCUACAGCAUCCAAGGCCAGCUCAGGGAGUAACGGAUCUACGUUUGUUUGAGGCCUUUCCAGACAUUUCCUUAUCCACAUUUCUUCUAGAAGGAUCCAGGAAAUCAACUCUAUCACUGUGCCCAGCUGUUUAUGUUAAAAGGAUGUGGUCUGAGGGGGGUUGGGAAUAUCAUCUCCUCUCUCUUGGCUGGGCCAGCGGAGAGAAGGCAGAAAAUAAAACCCGGUCUGGGGGGGGGGGGGGAGACACAGAUCCUCACAGAUGGCACCUAGCCCCUCCGCUGGCCCUGCUGACAUUUGAAAAUGCUUCCUGGGGUGACCUAGCGUGGGGCUGACCGUGAUGGGCACUACCACAAGGGUAGGACAAAGGACUGUGUUGGUCCCACCAGUUCUUGCAGGGGUCCUUCCACUGCCUCCCCUCUGCAAGCCUGAGAAGGUGUGAAACAGAUCCGUUCCCCAUUCCUCUGUUUCUUUUAAGUCAAGUUACCACUUGCCCUUAUGCCAUCCAGGAAGUUCAAAAUGAGUCCCUGGGAGCCGACCUCUCUGCAUUUCCCCUCCUUUGCAGGACACGGAGCAGUUCUAAAAACCUCCGAUGGUGGGGCCCUGGGAAACUGCGAUUUAGCAGCGUUGUUGGAUCUUUGAUUGACACUUCGGAAUAGUAAUGCUGGAAGGUCAACAGUCUGGAAGGCUUGCCAUGUUCCGCCAAGGAGCCACAGAUGAGAUACCUUCACAGAUGGUGUCCCUUAUCAGCCAUUCUCUGGGCCCUGGGAAGAGUGGACUCAGGUUCACUGAAACCAUCUGUAGCUCAAGUCAUGUGGCCCCAGCCUUCCUGCCCCACACCAUCACUUUACUGGGUAUUGUUGUGUCCCCAUAUGAAGAUGGCCUCCCACUUCCUGAACAGGUGACCUGGGCUUUACCAUCAUCCAUGACAACUAUUCGAAUCACCUCCACUCAUCCUCCAGGCAUGCAGAGAACACCUGCAAAGGAGUAUGGUUUCUAAUUCCAUUCUGACACCUGGCAUCAUCCCUGUAGACCAGGACAAGUGCCCACCUUUGCUUCUCAAGUGAGACAAAUAAGGCUCAGAGAUGUCACAGUCAUUUCCAAAGUCACACACAUAUAAAGUGCAUGCAGGGGACUCCAGGCCCUGUGGUUCUUUCCAUGACAACUUUCCAUAAAGCCUCAAUAAUGUGCCUUGGAAAUGGGUAUAGAAGCGUCUUGGUGAGUAACCAUCACUGCUCCCCCAAGGCUGUUCUGAGAAGUCUUGCCUCCCACAAAAGCCCGCAGACCCAAGCCACCUGACACCAUGGUCGUCCACACUGUGUGCACCCACGCCUGCUGAUCUGCUUCCGUUCAUGCCCCGACUUGCCCAUCUUCUGGCUGUUCAAGACCACACACUUCAGAGCACCCGUGACACCAGGGGAAGUGACAUGUGGCUACACUAGCAAUAUAACAGCAAGGAAACCCAGAGCUUGAAUUCUAACAAGGAACCUCCCUCCCCAAGAAGACUAAACAUAAUGUAUGGUGAAAUACAUUGUAGAAGCCAAAUGUGUACUCUCAGCACUUAAGAGACUGACAUGGGGGCUGGAGAGAUGGCUCAGUGGUUAAGAGCACUGAUUGCUCUUCCAGAGGUCCUGAGUUCAAUUCCCAGCAAUUCUAAGCCACAUGGUGGCUCAUGACCACCUGUAAUGGGAUCCAAUGUCCCCUUCUGGUGUGUUUGAAGACAGCUACAGUGUGUUCACAUGCAUUAAAUAAAUGAAAUCUUUUAUUUUCCAGAUAGGGGUUUAAUCUAGAGAGAGAGAGAAAAAGAGAGAGCCUGAGGCAGGAGGAUUGUGAGUUUUAAAUAAGCACAGCUACAAAGCAGGACUCUGUCUUUAAAACCACACAUACCAAAGCCAGGAUGGGGAUGGUGACAAAGGGCAGCGAUAAUUAGGAACUGAAGUUGAAUUGGAAACACCAAAGUGUAAAAUUGGAAAUGAUGACUUGGGUUCUCUAGUUUAGUAACUGAAUUGUUAGUUUUCCCAAGGGGUUGUCACUUAGUCAUCAGUGUGACCUAGACCUUACAUCUUCCAUGACAAUUGUUCGGUCCAGCUUUUAGUCACCUUACAGGAACUUAUUUUAAUAAUGUCCCAGAACUGGGUGUGGCAGUGAGCACCUGUGAUCCUGACAUUUGGGAGGUGGACGCAGGAAGUUCGGGAGUUCAAGGCCAGCCUCAGCAGAGUGAGUUUGAGGCUGGCUGGGGCUGUAAAACAAAACAGCACAUUAACGUCCCAGGCUGGGCUGUGAUAGCACAUGCCUUUGAUCCCAGCAUCCGAGAGGCAGAGGCAGCUAG